rnacentral:rRNA from 1 species
GACGAACGCUGGCGGCGUGCUUAACACAUGCAAGUCGAACGGAAAGGCCCUGCUUUUGUGGGGUGCUCGAGUGGCGAACGGGUGAGUAACACGUGAGUAACCUGCCCUUGACUUUGGGAUAACUUCAGGAAACUGGGGCUAAUACCGGAUAGGAGCUCCUGCUGCAUGGUGGGGGUUGGAAAGUUUCGGCGGUUGGGGAUGGACUCGCGGCUUAUCAGCUUGUUGGUGGGGUAGUGGCUUACCAAGGCUUUGGCGGGUAGCCGGCCUGAGAGGGUGACCGGCCACAUGGGGACGAAGAUACGGCCCAGACGCCUACGGGAGGCAGCAGGGGGGAAUAUGGCACAAUGGGCGGAAGCGUGAUGCAGCAACGCCGCGUGCGGAAAGACGUCCUUCGGGUGGUAAACCGCUUUCGCCUGUGACGAAGCGGGAGUGACGGUAAUGGGUAAGGAAGCACCGGCUAACUACGU